AACGAACGCUGGCAGCAGGCCUAACACAUGCAAGUCGAGCGAGGACUUCGGUUCUAGCGGCGGACGGGUGAGUAACGCGUGGGAAUGUGCCCUUCUCUACGGAAUAGCCCUGGGAAACUGGGAGUAAUACCGUAUACGCCCUUUUGGGGAAAGAUUUAUCGGAGAAGGAUCAGCCCGCGUUGGAUUAGGUAGUUGGUGGGGUAAUGGCCUACCAAGCCGACGAUCCAUAGCUGGUUUGAGAGGAUGAUCAGCCACACUGGGACUGAGACACGGCCCAGACUCCUACGGGAGGCAGCAGUGGGGAAUCUUAGACAAUGGGGGCAACCCUGAUCUAGCCAUGCCGCGUGAGUGAUGAAGGCCUUAGGGUUGUAAAGCUCUUUCAGCUGGGAAGAUAAUGACGGUACCAGCAGAAGAAGCCCCGGCUAACUCCGUG
rnacentral:rRNA from 1 species